UUAUAUAGUUAGGGAAAGUAAAUUUGAAAAUAAAAUAACCUUAUCAAUUUUUGAUCAUGAUUUAGGUUAGGCCAGCAGAGAAGGCCUUGCUGGCCUUGACGGCCCACCACUGAAAGACAGGCCAUUCCGUGGGCAAUUUUCCCAGGACGACCCCAUUAUUAUUCCACGGGGACGACUGCCCCCUCCGAGCCCAAUGGGUGGUCUUUCCAAAGGCAAAAGGAAGAGGAAAAGAAAAGAAAGAGCUACCAAUAAGACACAUCUCCUAGGAAGCCUUGCUGGCAUCAACAUGUUUCCGUGGAAACGUCACUCGUACCCCCUCCACAAGAAACGUUCAUUCACUCAAACCGGGACACAUUUCUUCUGAAUCGGAAGAGUAACAUGAAACACGAACUAAAACUCGAGACGUGCCGCCCAGUGCCAAGCCCGGUCUGGGUGGAAAACACCCCAGCCCCUCUCGUCUUUGUGCAGCCAUGUGUAAGAAACCUGGCACCGGCCCGAGGUCAGCGUCCCGAAAUGAUAUUAGCAUAAUCCCAUUAAGUGUGUCAGAGGCCUCGUGAGCAGACUGCGAGGAAGGCCGAGGAACGCCGUGACCAAAGAACGGAAGAAAAACAUGUCUUAUGUGUAAAUGUUAUUCACGUCCCAUCAAAUUUUAAAAAGUAUUGAAAAAUUCAUA